AGCGAAGACUUGUCACAGCGAAUCUGGAAAUGCGGAGUUUUAUUUCUCCAUUUAAAAAAUGUCGUUUUGGAAAUGGGAGUACGUCCCUGGAUUUGUAUCACCUGGCUUUUUCUGAACGACUCCUCUUGUCUCUUCUCCAAGAAAAAGACACAGUGGCUGAGGAUGGAGGAGCGCUCCCAGUCCCUGUGGGAGAGCUGGAGGGUGCUGCUGAUGCCAAUGGGGAACUGAAACUACAGCCCUGGAGAGGAAACAAGAUCAUCGCUGCUGCUCCCUUCGCACUCCUGACUUUGUUUGCUUUGUGUGACUGGUUUCUGGCUGAAUAAAACAAAAUUUCCUGGCCCUCUGAGAUGAGGAAAAUCAUCCGGUGACAAAAGGAAGUUCUGAGGGGUUUGAGAUGUGUCCCUCUCCUGGGAAAGAGAAAGGAUGCCCCCGUGGUACCUGAUAUAACUGGGACUUGCAAAGCUCUGUCUGCUAGUUUAUAAACAUACCCUCAUUAAAGCAUUUUAAUUAGG
ensembl:lncRNA